GGAAGCAGUUUCAGAAGUGAAGUAAUGUGUAAGAUGUGCAAGUGUGACAGAGUAGUUACAAUCCUUCAACAUAAGCUUUGUAAUGUGUUUUCACACUGUGAUUCAAGUAAACUUCCAAAACGGCACCAUGCUUCUCACAGAGUUAUUUGAAUGAACGUUUAUCUAACUGGAUAGCUGGAUAAGGGCUACUGUACAUUUAGCGAGCCCAGUAUAGUAAGACUUGUUUGCCUCCACUCCUGUAGAGAUCAGAAAGGAGAGAUGAAAACGGUAAUACUUUGUCAAAGUCAGGCAAUACUAGCCAACCAUGAAUUACUUUGCCCUCAUCACAUCCCUUUGCAAGACGUUUGCAACUUGCCAGUCAGAGCUCCAGUGGAAGAGGUCCUGGUACAGCCCCAGGAGAGGGUGGAGGAGAUGUUAGCUGUCAACAACCAGAGCCUCAACAGAACUUUCCAAAUAUAUCUCCUCCCCCCAGAAGACUGACGGAAUCCAGAACAACCUCGAUUCGUUGGGGCAUGGACUC